rnacentral:misc_RNA from 1 species
AACGCACAUUGCGCCCCUUGGUAUUCCGAGGGGCAUGCCUGUUCGAGCGUCAUUAUAACCACUCAAGCCUCGGCUUGGUAUUGGGGUUCGCGGUUUCGCGGCCCUUAAAAUCAGUGGCGGUGCCGUCUGGCUCUAAGCGUAGUAAUUCUCUCGCUAUAGGGUCCAGGUGGUUACUUGUCAGAAUCCCCCACUUUUAUAGGUUGACCUCGGAUCAGGUAGGGAUACCCGCUGAACUUAA